UCGGCAUUGGUGUUACAAUACCUGUUUAUGCUGUCAUCUUCCAACAAAAGAAAACUGCUUCUGCUUAGCUCUCUAUCUCAUCUCUCUCUCUCUCACUCUCUCUCUCUCUCUGCAUGUGUGUACCUUCCACUCUUCACUUGAGCUUUAACAAUGGCGGAACACGACCCCAUCACUCCUCUACUACCCAAACACCGCCUCUCUCAUCCCUCCGACGAGCCUCAACUGAUUAUACCCGUGGACGAUGAUUGGGGUUCCGAAGAAGAACCCCCAAAUCAAAUUCACAACUACGAAACGGAUCCGAUUAACAAUACCCAUUCAGUGAUUGAGAACCCAUUUGAGUUUCUCGGUGCUGGACCUCUCUCCGUGCCUUCCUCGACCACUAUCGAUCCCUUUCGCAGCCACACGCCGCAAAUUAAAGAGAUUUAUGAGUGGUUGAAGAUCCUGAUUUGUGUGCCUAUUGCGAUUGUUCGGCUCGUGUUAUUUGGUUUGUCUUUGUUGAUUAGAUAUGUGGGUACCAAGUUUGCUCUCCAUGGUUGGAAGGAUAAACAUAACCCAAUGUACAAAUGGAGGUGUAGACUCGUGUGGAUUACUCGAAUUUGUGCUUGGUGUAUCCUCUUCUCUUUCGGCUACCAUUGGAUAAAACGUAGAGGAAGACCUACUCCAAGGGAGACCGCUCCUAUUGUUGUAUCCAAUCAUGUAUCAUAUAUUGAUCCUAUUUUCUUUUUCUAUGAAUUAUUUCCCACCAUUGUUGCUUCCAAGUUCCAUGAUUCCAUACCUUUGAUUGGAACCAUUAUUAGAGCAAUGCAGAUUGUAUAUGUUAAUAGGUCCUCACCAACGUCAAGAAAGCAUGUUGUCAAUGAAAUAAAGUUCUUAAGGUCAAAUUGAAGAACACUUCAAGAAUUUCGUUUUGACCGGUGGAGAUUGAAUUUCGGCAACGUCAAAUUUUGGAGUUUUCAUUCAUUUUCUCUCCUAAGCUUGAGGAAAAGAUGUGGUGAUUCCACCCAACUAGGGGCGUGGAAGCAUGUGUGUUGGGAGUACAAUGCUCUCAUUUUGCGUGACUCUGUUUUGUAAGCCAAUGGCUGUAUUUGUGUGGGUUUGAAUAACCGAUUUGUGUAACCGGGCCUUAGCCUUGGAAAUUGUUAAACCCAUUAAGGUAUUUAUUUGUUUUAUGUUAUUUUGAUUUGAAGUAAAUGUAUUAUCAUUUGUGCAUAAAAAUUGGGGCGUUACAACUUUACCAUACUCAUGAUUUACCUUGUGCCCAUGAGAUUGCUGACUACAUUAGACAAGAUCGUCCUAUACCACUUGUUACCAUACACUUACAGUGGAGGCAACUUCAUAUCUCCAUAUGCAACAAAGAAG